UACGGGGGGGGCAAGCGUUGUUCGGAAUUACUGGGCGUAAAGGGCUCGUAGGCGGCCAACUAAGUCGGACGUGAAAUCCCCAGGCUUAACCUGGGAACUGCAUCCGAUACUGGAUGGCUUGAAUCCGGGAGAGGGAUGCGGAAUUCCAGGUGUAGCGGUGAAAUGCGUAGAUAUCUGGAGGAACACCGGUGGCGAAGGCGGCAUCCUGGACCGGCAUUGACGCUGAGGCGCGAAAGCCAGGGGAGCAAACGGG
rnacentral:rRNA from 1 species